CUUAUGGGUCGUCCUUUUUCACAACUUUUUUCACUGGGGCUGAGGGGAGGAGGGAGGCUGCUGUAUUCUGUUUGUGUUUGUGUCUUUUCUUUUUUCUGUUGUUGGUAGAAGAAUCACACUUGUCAUAUAGUAAGUAAUUUUCCUCCUUCAACCUUAAUUUACUUUCUCUGAGAAAGUGAAGUGUGUGUGUGAGAGGCUCUGGGAGAAGGGUGUGUGUGAGAGGCUCUGGGAGAAGGGUGAAGGAAAGAUGGAGGAGCAGAAUGUAGAGAGAGGCGGGGAGAGGGAGGGCUUCCUAACCCAUGUUACAUUGUGGAGACCUGUGGAGACUUACAACUAUCAAAAUUCUCCACAGCAGUGAAGGCAGAAGAAGAGAUAGAGUGGAGCACUAGGCAGCACAGCACCUACGUGAGAUUUAGAAAAUUGUGCCUGUUCUGGGUGCAGCUUGCAGAGCUUGGCAAGUAGAGCACAGCCUGGGUUUCAGCCUCCACCGUCACCUCUACCAAGAGGGUUGUUCAGUGAACAGCUUUCACAACUGCGAUCAGCAGUCUUGGUUGGGGGAAGCCUGGUCACAAAUGCUGUGGAAGACGAGGACCCCCAAGGAACUGAGUAAGUGAAGAGGUUCAUCUACGCUGUGGCACGCACCAAGACUUCAUUUCUCUUUAUGGUUGAGUAACGUUCCAUUGUGUGUAUAUACCAAGUUUUGUUUAUCCAUUUGUCUGUCGAUGGACAUUUUGUUUUUUUCUAUCUUUUGGCUAUUGUGACAAGUGCUGCAAUGGACAUUGGUUUACAGUGCUCAGUGUCUGCUGUGUUGUGAACACAGCUUGAGGCGAACCACCCAACUCUACAUGUUUUCCAUCUGUCAGACGUGAGUGACAGAUUGUCAGAUUUUUCAGGGAUAAUAAUUUUACCCACCUCAGCCUGGAGCAACAGAGGAAGGGGAAUCAGAAAUAGGAGGAGAAAAUGGAAUGUGUGUCUAAUUGCCUCCGUCAACAACUGCUUCCUUUGCCAUGAGACCAGAAGAACUGGAUGAUACCCCGCUACCAUUACUGAACAUUUUAAUCAAAGAUACCGUAGAAGAAUCCUGAUCAAAAGGAGGAAACGCAAAACAGAAUUUCAUAUGCUCAUGAACUCCAGACUUCCUGGAGCCACGGAGCUUGGAUGAACCCCUGAAACUAUUGUCCUGAGAUAAUCUUUAAAACUUCAACCAAAAAAAGUAUUAUGCUCUUUAAAGAACUAUCUAUAUGGGAUUAAAGUGACAAGAGCAACUCGAAAGAUUAGAUAAGAACCUUAGGGGGCAGUGAGUUUAUGUUAGUGGGGGAGGAACAACUCAGAGAAGGACGGUGAGAAUGGAUGCACAACUCAAAGAAUGUAUUCAAUGUCACUGAAUUGGCCAUGUAGAGACUGUUGAAUUGAUGUAUAUUUUGAUGUGUAUAUUCUCAACAACAACAACAAAAAAGAGUCUUAGGUCACAUCUUUCUUGAAUGUUAGAGUUCUACCGUAUAGUAAAAGCAUAAUGGGACAACAACAACAACAAAACUGUGGAAAUAAAGAAUAUUUUAAAAUGUUGUAAUAAAGAAUAUUUGUAAAUAAAAACGUAGUGCCCACAAUGCAAUGACGAAGUUUAAAUGGAGUAAUAUGCAUGCAAUACAUUUAGCGUGUUGCUGGAUCAUACAUUGUUGUUGUUGUUACUUGGUGUCUACACAACAGACACUGAGCUCUAUGAGGGAAAUGAAAUAAACACCAUGAAAUGAAAACUUUGUCAGCAGAGAUGAGAGGGCCACUCAUUAGGUACAAUAGAACAAGCAUUGCCAGGUCCUGCACCACCUUUAUGAUUGUUGGUAUGUUUGAGUCCUUGUGUUGGGCAUCGUGUCAGUCCAUCUCACAGAGUACCACCUCACCUUUACCAAACAUGACGUUUUUCUUAGUGAUUGGUCUCUCCUAAUGACACGUUCAAAGUAGGGGAGCCACAGUCUCACCAUCCUCCUAAGGAGCAUUCUGGUUUCAUUUCUUCUUGUUCAAAAUUUUAUGGAUAGUUGGAUCAUACAGAGAGUCAGCAUCUAUCAUUUCUGGUCCUCAGUCUUGCUGGUCACAGUGAAAUAAAGGGGUGGGAAGACGCAUCACUUGUCUAAAACAGAUUGCCCACAGUGCACUUUGCCCCCAGGGCUUUGAAAUGUUUUCCAACCCAGUAAAAUCUUUGUGACUGGGCGAAAGCCUUAAAUAAAGCAGGGCACAGAGCUGAUGACAUCUUCUCCCAUCCUGGGGGUAGCAGGUGAAGGCAGGUGGGAACAUUCUAUAUUCCAAAUACUUCAGGCCAAAGUAAAGGCAGGAAAGAAAUCAUGAGAGGUUUCCUGAGGGUAUGGGUCUGAGGUCAAAUUGCUGGAGAAAGGGUGAAAAGGAGAGAAAACAAAGAGAGAGUGAAAACUGAAAAGGUUUAAACAAACCCUCAGCCUCUGCCCAAUUCUCCAUUUCUUUUCUCACCUCUUGAAAUUGGGAGGAGCCCCUGGGUGGUGCCAACAGUUAACAUGCUCUGUUGCCAACCAGAAGUUCGAGUCCACCCAGAGGUGCCUUGAAAGAAAAGUCUGGGAACCUACUUCUGAAAAAUGAGCCAUUGAAAACCGUGUGAUGCACAUUUCUACUCUGACACACAUGGGGUUGCCAUGAGUUGGAAUCAACUCCAAGGCUAUUGGUUUUGGUUUCUUGAAAUUGCAAAGGAAACUCUGCCUGGCUGGUUGGGGCUGUUUUAGGACAGUGAACACUACAAACACCUGAGCCCUUGUUUAGAUCCUUAUCUACUUUGGGGAGAGAAUUUUACAGCUAAAAUCAACGGUAGAUUAGAAAGGCCGGCCCAGGAGCACCCAGACGUGCUCAUCAGAGCUUCUGCCCUCACAAAAAGACACGGAGUCCCUGAGGGCUGGCUGCAUGGGCCUGCCCUGCAGGGCAGCUUUUAGCACCUCAGGGAGCUGGGAGGAGGAGGGACGCAGCAGCACUUGGAGAUGACUGAACACCUCUCCUGCUUACACUGAUUUGGGAUGAUUUUCACUGUUGGACUCUUUACUACAAGCCCUGGGAGUGGGUUGCCAUGGUUAUGCCAGUUUUAACAGGAAGUUAGGGUCAAGUGGCUUCCCCAGGCCAUGCGGCUUUUAGCUGCCGCAUUUUGGAGUCUAACUUCUCCUUGGAAAGCCUGCUUUGCUGGGGGAAGGAUCGUGUGGAGAGGAGGGUGAAUUCAAUUUGAAAUAAUUUAUGCUUUAUCCAUAGACAGGAGAUAGAAAAUGGUGGUGGGUAAGUGUAAGGGGGUUUGGAGUCAGAUAGCUUUGUCAUGUACCACCUAUGUGACUCUAAGCAAAUUACCUAACCCUUCUGAGAAACGGGAGCCCAACUGUAUGCACUCCAUAGGAGAGCCAUGAGGGUUAAGUGAAGUGAUGUGUGACCCAUGGAAAGCUCCAGGGUGUGUUGGUUUACCAGGUCCUUCCGUGAACAUUAUCUCAAGGGCUUGCAGAAUAGCCCUGGGAAGCUGGUGUUAAUGCCACCCUAUUUUUACAGAGGGGACCAAGGCAGGAAUUCAAGGGCUUCCUAUGUUGGCCUUCAAAGGCGUGCCUGUGUCUCUAACCUUAUCCCACCACACUGUGCAGUAGCCAGACCAGCCUCUGUGCCUGGUCCAUGCCAUGCCCAGCCCUGCCUCAGGGCCUUUGCUCUUACUGUCUGUCCCCUCCUGUUGGGACACUCUUCCCUGACUUUUCAUGAGACCAGCUCCUUUUCUUUCUUUAGAUUUCAGCUGGGGUCACCUUCUCGGGGGGACUUUUUGUCUUCUAGUUACCCUCAUUACCCAUUGCUGUUGUUAGUUGCCGCCAAAUUGAUUCUGACUCAUAGCGACCUUAUGUGUGCAGAGUAGAACUACUCCAUAGGGUUUUCCAGGCUGCCACCUUUUGGAAGUAGAUCGUCAGGCCUUACUUUCUAGGCACGUCAGAGUAAGUUCGAACCGCCAACCUUUCAGUUAGUAGUCCAGCGCUUAACCAUUUGGGCCUCCCAGGGACUCCUUGCUACUAGUUAAUCUCUAUCAUCUCACUUUAUUUUCAUUAAACAACUCAUUCUAAUAUGAGAUUAACUUGUUUAUCGUCUUUGAACAACUCAUUGCAAUCUGAAAUUACUGGGCUUAUCAGUCUUCCCACCAUUAGCACAUAAGUUCCUGUGUCAAUCUGGUUUCCUUCUGUGUCCUCCUACAUUUAACCUUAAACUGGAGACCCUCUGGAAUCUGUGGGUAGAAUUAAGGCUCUAUGAAUCUGGAAAGGAAAAAAAAUUGCAUCUUUAUUUUCACUAACCCCGUAACUGAAGCUUAGUAUUUCCUUCCAUUAUGACUGUAGGCAACAAACCACGGUAGUAUCAACUGUACUUGAGGCUGUCACACACCACAGUUUUGCAGAUAUCUUGAAAUAUAUGCUGAUCACUAAUAUGAUGUACAGUAUUUAGAUUCACUGCUGGAUCUUGCUAUUUAAUGCAAUAAUAAAGAAACACCUGUGUUACCACCCACCACCCAUCUGUCAGUUUGUCAUAUGGUUGUGACUUGCAUGUUGCUAUGAUGCUGGAAGCUAUGCCACAGGUAUUUCAAAUAGCAGUAGGGCCACCCAUAGUGGGCAGGUUUCAGAGAAGCUUCUAGACUAAGACUAGGAAGAAAAGCCUGCUAAUCUGCUUCUGAAACUUAGCCAAUGACAACCUUAUGGAUCACAACAGCAUAUUGUUCAAUAUGGUACUAGAAGGUGACAUAGGACCUGGCAACGUUUCCUUCUGUUAAGCACAAGGUCACCGUGAGUCGGAGCUGACUCUACAGCAACUAAUAAAAACAACUUCACAAAUAAAAAAAUAUUUUUAUAUAUUCAAUAUAUUUUAUAAUUCCAUGUAUUUAUUUUAUACAUUUGAGAAGCAUUAGCCUGAAUCCAUAGGUUUGACCAGAUUGCCAAUAGAGUUCUUGGCACAAAAAAGGUUAACUAUCUCUGUGGCCUACAACAGUGCUUGACACAUAAUAACCAAAAAACCAAACCCGUUGAUGUCA